GACGAACGCUGGCGGCGGGCUUAACACAUGCAAGUCGAACGGAAAGGCCCUGCUUUUGUGGGGUUCUCGGGGGCCGAACGGGGGAGUAUCACGUGUGUAACCUGCUCUUGUCUUUGGGAGAGCUUCAGGAAACGGGGCCUAAGACAGGAUAGGAGCUCCUGCAGCAUGGAUGGGAGGGGAAAGUUUCGGCGGUUGGGGAUGGACGCGCGGUUGAUCGAUUUGUUGGUGGGUUAGGGGCUUACCAACGCUUUGACGGGUAGCCGGCCUGAGAGGGUGACCGGCCACAUUGGUACUGAGGUAGGGCCCAGAGGGCAACGGGGGGCAGUGGUGGCAAACAUGGCACAAUGGGACGAAGCCGGAUGAAACAACGUCGGGUGCGGGAAGACGGUUUUUGGGUAGUAAACAGCUUCAGCCUGUGACGCAGCUGGAGUGACGGUAAUGGGAAAAGAAGCACCGGCUAACUACGUG
rnacentral:rRNA from 1 species